UUUCUAGGGAGGACGGGACCAGCUGAGCAAACCGAAUGGUUGCGCGCGACCCCUGAAAAGCAGCCGGCUUGUCGUGGGAAGGUCACCUUAAGUAUAUUUAGAAACUAAAAGUGAUCAAUGGAUGCGCCUGGUAUAUUUUGUGUCUCCAUACACAACAGAGAAAUGUAAUGGUAAAAAGAACCCUAUGGAGAAAGCAGAGGAGGUGAGGUGUUACCUGAUUGCUUUCAGAUGUUUGCAGAUCAUAUGUGGUAACCCGAAUGCUUUGGAACUGGUCACACCAAAAGGGGCUAUUCAGCAGGUUCUGACCAGUCCUGGAGAACUGGUAGUGGAAAUUUUGAGUAGUUCAGA